AAUCAACGCUGGCGGCGUGCCUAACACAUGCAAGUCGCGCGCGAAAGGGGGGCAACCCCCGAGUAGAGCGGCGAACGGGUGAGUAACACGUGGGUAAUCUACCUUCGAGUGGGGAACAACAUCGGGAAACUGGUGCUAAUUCCGCAUGACCAUCGUCGGGGCUUCGGUUCUGACGAUCAAAGCUGGGGAUCGCAAGACCUAGCGCUUGAAGAUGAGCCCGCGUCCGAUUAGCAGUUGGCGGGGUAAUGGCCCACCAAGGCUCCGAUCGGUAGCCGGCCUGAGAGGGCGGACGGCCACACUGGAACUGAGACACGGUCCAGACUCCUACGGGAGGCAGCAGUGGGGAAUUUUUCGCAAUGGGGGCAACCCUGACGAAGCAACGCCGCGUGGGGA
rnacentral:rRNA from 1 species